rnacentral:rRNA from 1 species
AAUGAACGCUGGCGGCAGGCCUAACACAUGCAAGUCGAACGGGUCCUUCGGGACUAGUGGCGGACGGGUGAGUAACGCGUGGGAACGUGCCCUUUGCUCCGGAAUAGCCCCUGGAAACGGAGAGUAAUACCGUAGGUGCCCUUUGGGGGAAAGAUUUAUCGGCAAAGGAUCGGCCCGCGUUGGAUUAGGAAGUUGGUGGGGUAAUGGCCUACCAAGCCGACGAUCCAUAGCUGGUUUGAGAGGAUGAUCAGCCACACUGGGACUGAGCCACGGCCAAGCAUCCUACGGGAGGCAGCAGUGGGGAAUCUUAGACAAUGGGGGAAACCCUGAUCUAGCCAUGCCGCGUGAUCGAUGAAGGCCUUAGGGUUGUAAAGAUCUUUCAGGUGGGAAGAUAAUGACGGUACCACCGGAAGAAGCCCCGGCUAACUCCGUGCCAGCCGCCGCCGUAA